rnacentral:lncRNA from 1 species
CGAGCGCAGCGCCGGUAGGCUGGCACUGCUGGGGGACCCAGCGCACCCUCCUCAGCUGCUGGCCCGGUUGCUAAACCCUGCUGGUCCGGGUGCUAAGCUCCUCAUUGCCCAGGGAGGCGGGGCCCGCCAAACCCACGCCAACCCGGAACUCUAGCUGGCCCGCAAGGGCUACGCGCAGCCCCGGUUCCUGCCCGUGCCUCUCCCUCCGCACUUCCCCUCAGGCUGAGGGAGCUGGCUCCUGCCUCGGCCAUCCCAGGAAGAGGCUCCCACAGUGCAGCGACGGGCUGAAGGGCUCCUCAGGCGCGGCCAGAGUGGGCGCCCAGGCCGAGGAGGCGCCAAGAGCGAGCGAGGGCUGCGACGACUGCCAGCAUGCUGUCACCUCUCACUAUGACUGUCUGGGAUCUGCUUUAUAAAUAAACAAGCUUCCUACAAUUAUCCUCAUCUCAUGGAAAAACUAGACAGAGGAAAAGAAAAGAGGCAAAUGGAGCUUCCUUUGCUAAGAGCUCAAAUAACUCUCCUCUACAUAGUCUUCUUCAAACAAAAACACAAAGCUAAUUUUCCAUUUACUCUUUGAGAGUUCCACAGAAAAACAAAAAAACCAAGUGACAUUAAUUGAUACUGGACACAAUCUGUGAUAUCAGUGAUUAAGUUGGAGUUAUGCAAGUGGAUCAUUUGCCACCAACCAGAAAAUAAGGAUUCCUUUCAAGUGGAUGUGGGAUAUGAAUAUUUUUUGGCACAAGACAGUAGUUCAAUUGGUAAAAAUUUCAUCAAUGGUGACUUUGGAGAAUGUCAUGUUGCAGGUGAAUGUCCUAACCAGGACAAUAUUCAUGCAUUUGAAAAAUCCAGCGUGAGAAACAUAGAAAGGAAGAAGACCAUCACCAGAGAUGAAUGGACAUUUGAUAUUACCAAGAAUAUGCAUAAUGACUUGGAAGUUACCAUUUGAACAAUUGACAUUCUUGAGCAUCUUAGGUUGGAUUUCCUAGGAACAGAACCUGUGACAGGAAUUCAGGUGGAGCUGUUUUAGGCUGGGUGCUGUGGCCCAGGCCUGGAAUCCCAGCACUUCAGAAGGCCAAGGCAGGAGAAUCGCUUGAGCCCAGGAGUUCAAGAGCAGCCUGGGCAACAUGUUGAAACAUCAUCUCUAUACAAAUAUACGCACAAAAAUUAGCUGGACAUGGUGGUGUGCACCUGUAGUCCUAACUACUCAGGAAGCUGUGGUGGAAGAAUCACUUGAGCCCAGGAGGUCGAGCCUGCAAUAAGCUGUGAUUGCACCACUGCACUCCAGCGUGGAUGACAGAGCAAGACACCCUGUCUCAAAAAAAAGACUAUACAACAGAGCUCUGAAAAAGAUCACACUUUCAGAACGGGGCCAUAGCAGGCAUAAAAGCAACAAUUUAUCAAACUGCCUGAGGGAAUGAUGUAAAAAAUGCUCAUCAAGAAUAUCCAUCUGGACAGGACAAAAAAUGACGCUGAGAGGACUUUGGAGAGUUUCUACCCAGUUUUCCUAAAUUCCAGGAAGUUUUCUUAGUAGAAAUGAUGAUGACUGAAAGCUACUUCAUUUCUGGGAUACUUGAGACUUCUGGUCUGCAUAUGUGACUGUAGGAAGAAAUAAAUAAUUUAUGUUUUGGAAAAACCCUAAUUACCUAAAGAUGACUCUCAUGGAGUAAAAGGGAAAUGGGCAUUUGUCUUGUUUUCCCAAACUCUUUCAGUACUCAGUGAAUAAAAAUUAAGGUAACAACAUGAAUUCAGAAGGGCUUCUUAUUUGAGCUCUCUUACCUGUGCAGACUUAUAUUAUUGUGUGUGUGACAGGCAUUUUCCUUAUUUUAUUUUAUACAAUGUGUGUGAAUAAAUUUUUAUACAACUUCUUUUAUUAAAGGCAGAGAAUGCUUCAGCUUACCUUUGUAUUAUCUACAUUUUGGAAACAGAAUGAAUAUUCAAAUGUUGAAUUAGCUCGAAU